ACACGACACCCUCCCCUGGACUGUGAAACAAUCAUUGGCCCAAUAAAGGCUCUGAUAAGCUCUACAGUUAUAUUUUAAACCUUAAAGCAUGGGUUGAUGCUAUUUAACUCAGUAUUUUCCAAAGUUAUUUGAUCAGAGAACCAUCCUGUCCUCCUCCCUUUUUUUUUUUUUAAAUUUGAGGAGCAUCUCACUGGGGUACCGCACUGUCACUUAGGCUGGAGUGCAGUGGCAUGAUCACAGCUCACUGCAGCCUCGACCUUCUGGACUCAAGUGAUCCUCCUUCAGCCUCUUGAGUAGCUGGGACCACAGGUGUGCACCAUCAUGCCUGCCUAAUUUUUAAAGUUUCUGUAGAGACAGGGUCUCCCUAUGUUGCCCAAGCUGGUCUCAAACUCCUGGGUUCAAGAGAUCCUCCCACCUUGGCUUUCCAAAGUGUUGGGAUUAUGGGUGUGAGCCGCUGCACUGGCCCCGACCACCUUCAUUUAAAGGCAGCACGCUCCUAAGUAUGAGGCUCCAUGUGUGUGGCUGUGGCUGGUCCCAAUAUGGCUUCCUCAGCACCCUUCUCAGCCAUCUGCUCCCCAGGGAGCUGUCAGGUGUUUGGGUAUAUAGGAGCAGCAGCUGUUGACCCCCGGUGACAGCCCAGGGGUUGUACAGGACCUGGUAGACCCUACCUCUGGAAGGCCCCUGUGUCUCCCGGGCUGCACUGGGCAGCCAGCAUAUUCUCGGGAGGGCAGUGGGUGGGCAGGGAUGGAGGGAGUCGGUAGAACGGCAGCUACCUGACAGCAUUGUCGACAUUACUUUUAGGUCAGCAUUAAAUCCAGGACUACCUACUAAAAGGAACUGAACCUUUUCUACAUAUGGUUAUGCAUAGUACAGAUAGGUAUACGUGGAGGGGACUAAGAGCUUAAAGACAACAGGAAGUGGAGCCCACGACAUUUCUGUUCAGCAAUGGAGCAAGGAAGAAAUAAAGUCAAGUGCCAGUGGUCUCUGCACGCUGCUCCAGGAAAGGGGGCUUGCCUGAGAUGCUCCACAAAUAAAAAUUGGGAAAAAUGCUGAAAUCUGGGGAAAAUUAAUGACAAAUUUUCUUAAAAAGGUAAAGUAAGUGAUUUUUGCCUGGCAAAAAACUUUUUAAUACUUUGAAAAGCAUGGACCCUUGUUCCCAAUUCAAAUUUCCUUUUGUCACCUUUCUUUGCAUUUUGCGAGCACAUAUACUUUGGCACCUUUGAAAAGAAACUUUAAUAAAUAAGGGAAAAAAGAGAAAUUCAUUAGUGAACGGUAAUAAAUAACAAUAACUUAAAUUUCAAUAAAUAUCUUCUCUAUAUUUCUGUAUCUGAAACAGAUGCAUUGCAUCGAGUAGCUUCUCUGGUCACUGGUGACCACGCAUCAACGGAGCUGGUUAUGUAACAUCUGUCUCUCUGUAAACCAACAGGCCUGAGGGGCUCUCCCUGCCCGGGGGCAGUUCGGGGCCUUCCCCGAUUCUCUCCUACAAGAAUGCUGGCGAAAACCACAACUCGUUUCCUGUUUCCAAGGACAUAAAGGAAAUACCUUCAGUAAAAACUCUACUACCACUGAGCUCUUCAAGUCUUGCAGCAGAUGGGAAUUUACUCUGAGACGAGAGCAAGACAUGCUGGUUUCACCUGUACACAUUUACCAAAGUCAGCACAGGAGUAUGCUUAGGUCAUACCCAGCUUAUGACUCCAAGGCUAGAAUUGCCCACUGCAAGUGGUACAAAAUGGAUCAGGAGAGCCAAGCAGCUUGUCCUUGAAGCCAAUCUCUGGGCUGUCAACUCUUGUUCUUAUUUGACCUUCAGGAACCUCUAAAAUGUGCAGUCCAUGAGAAUGGACUCUAAAUAUGAGGACAUUGAGGAUCAGAGAUGUUGAAAAACUUGCCCAAGGAUGCACAAGUGGAAUGGUAAAGACAGGAUUUGAAUUCUGACCUCUCUGACUCCGUGUCACAAACUCCUGAAAGUGUGAAAGGUGACUGUUGUCUCUUGGGCACAGGUAGCUGCCAACAGGUGAGCCUCUCAGCGGAUCCCUGAUAGAGGUAGGAUGGCAAAUAGCUUCUUUAAUAUGACAGCCUCAGUGUAGUGGCUGGCAAGGAGCUGCGAUUGGGAGGAACUGGAAGUGACACCCAAGCUCAUUGAGCAAGCAUGCUGUGAGUGCCAUGAUAAAGUGAAGAGCUCAGGAGAAAGAUUGGAUCAAUUAUAGAAAAUAAUGAAGGUACAUUUUCUUUGCAUAACUAAAUGUAGGUACUGGAAUACCUGAGUUUUGGCUGGGCACAGAACUGUCUGGAAUACAGACUGCAAUUCCCAGCCUUCUGUGCAGUUCUGUGUGGCCAUGUGACUAAGUUGUGGUCAAUAUGAGUCACGGAAGAAUAGAAGAACAACUCAGAGGAGGAAGAAGUCAGACAUAGCCAGACACGGCUGCUAGCAGUUCCACCAAUGAAAGAGGAGACCAGGAUGUUUAAAACAGGCAAACACAAGGUGCGAAAAACCAGAAGCGAAAACUUCUGAGGUCAUUUAAGCAAGGACUAUCGUUAUCCCCGGAAGCAGAGAGAAGUUCCCUUUGCCCAACAUCACACUGCAAGCACGUGUUGGAGCUGAGAUUCAAACCCAGGCAUCCAGGGUCCAGGGCCCAUGCUUUUAAUAUAUUCCAUAUCUUAGGAGAAUUUCCCCUAUUUAAACAAUAAAAGUGCAAAAAUCUUGUGGCUAGCCAAAAUUUUCAGUUGUUUGGAAAACUUAUUUAUCCAAUAAGUGGAAAACUCACUUGUCCUCCAACAAUUCUGGAUAAAUGAAAGAACGAAUUGAACUGAGACUGGAAUCCGGGUCUCCCAGUACUUUGUAGUUCCUAUCCAUAUGGCUUGUCAGGAAGGCCACAGGGAGGUUAACUAACUCUGCGUAACCAGAAACAAUCCCACAUCAGACUGUUGGCAGUGGGAGUGGAACACUCAGAGCUGAACCGCAUGCAAGAUGGUUGCAUUUUCAUUUGCAAUGUCGUCAUCUUCCUCAUGGCUAAAGAGGUAUUUUGGAGUUGACAUGAAGGCUACUGUAAUUUUUAGAGGCAUUUUCUUUCUGGCCUGUAUUUACAUAUUGUGGUAGAAGAGUCAGAAGACUUCAAGCUUCAAAAGUGAAUCUUGUUGCGAGUUACAAAAGCACCACCCGGUGGGGUGCAGCUCUCAGCAUGUGUCACCACAGGCACUGUGAUUUCCCUGUCUUCAUCCAACUUUGGUUGCUGUUCUUCAUGCUCAGGAAUUCUGCAACUGCUGUAGCUUUUGCUGUUGUUAUGUCUGUAGGUAUGGACUCAUUUCUACCAUUCUGGAAUGAAACAUUAUUUCAAGGGAAGCUUCUCAUUGUAAAAGGUCCACACAUUCAGAAGGAAACUGGGAGUACAUUUUCUCAUAGGCCUGGAGCAUUAACUGACUAUGCAUCUUUCCCCUCAGUGUUGUCAUCAUGUUGUAAGGGGAUGAGUCAUGGACAACAUUUUCACACACAUACGUGAGGUCCAUUGACCAGUCUUUAGGACAACUAGAAAUCUUUUCUUUCUUUGUUUUAAAAAGGAAGACAAGUCAAGAUACAGCAAAUAAAAAUGCUCAGCACAUUUGCUGAAAUCUUAGCAAAAUCAAA
rnacentral:lncRNA from 1 species